UCUCUCUCCUCUCCCUCUUCCCCUGCAUCGCCCUCCCUUCUUCUUUUUCCGAUUUCUUCGCCGUCCGGCGUCCGAUCGAUGUGAUUCCAAUUGGUCGUGGACCGUCUCUUCCUCCUCUACACGGUAGUACCAGUGGGUAUCGGCGAUUUGGCCGGAAAACCUCGAAUCCCGGAAAUCAUUGUUACUGUAGCAGUUUGCUUCUCCGGCAAAAUUCUCUGUUUUCCAGCCAUUUUCGGAGGUGAAAUUGGUUCUAUUAGGAGCACCUCGAGCCACUGAUCGUUUUCUAUGAGGCUUCUAGCAGAAAUUUCCACGUUUGGUAGGAGAAUUUAAAGGAUUUCCAAAUUGGUGGGUUUGGAAAUUUCUGGAUUUGUGUUCAUCGGCAAAAUUGGAGCAGUUCAAGGGCGACGUACCGAGCUAUUGCUCGACGAAGGAACUCGUAUGCAUGGUCGCCUAAACAAUCCUCAAGUUUCUUCCCGAAAGUAAGUAAUUGGGAGAGGUUGUUUCCAGUUUAUUGAGGAGGCUAUUCAGUUUAUUGAGGAGGCUAUCUUCGGCGCAUGCGUAUAUUACCUGGUUGGCAGUCCCUUCUAGGUAAUAGUCAGGUUGGCAGUCCCUUCCAGACUACAUCCCGGUUGGUAGUCCCUUCCGAUGCGUCACUUGGUUGGCAAUCCCUUCCAGAUGACAUGAGGUAGUUAGUUGGCAGUCCCUUCUUACUACCUGUGGCUAGUUGGCACCGCUUCCUAUUCCAGUUGGCAGUCCCUUCCGAUGCGUCACCUGGUUGUUAGUCCCUUCUAACUACCUGUGGCUAGUUGGUAGUCCCUUCUACCCACAGCCUCCUAUUCUGGUUGGCAGUCCCUUCCGAUGCGUCAUCUGGGUGGCAGUCCCUCCUACAUGGCAUGAGAUGACUAGACAGCAGUCCUUUCUAGUCAUCAAGCGAGCCUCAUAAAAUGGAUAUUUUUUAUAAGGAUUGAGGAUGAGAUUUUAAGUGAUUGCAAGAUGUUCUAUUUUUACGUGCUUAAGAUUGCAGUAAAGAUGAUGAUUAAAAGUAUUUCCAAUAUUGUUACUGCAUGCGAGGUUUUAGAGAAUAACUUGGGAAGACAUUAAGUUUUACUUAUUCAUUCGAAAUUACUUAUUUUCGUCCACUCACUCUAACGGUUUUUAAAUGUUUUCCCCUGGGCCCUUCGGUUUUAAAUGCCCAGUUUGCAGGCCAGUUUAGUUUGAGGUCGAGCGUACAUGGGGUUGAGGCAUAGCUGUCAUAGCUUCCGCAUUAUAAAAGUAUCAGUCCUUUAUCUUGUAUUCUAUUCUCUUGUACGCCUGUACAAUAGAUUGCUCUGAUAACCCAGGAUAUUGAUAUUCUUAAGUUCAGAAUUGUUUAUGAAAUGGUAGACGUUGUGAUACGGGAAGCAGGGUGGCUCCAGAAGAAUAAGGGUGGAUUAUUUUAGAAGUGUAAAUAUCUUUCUACAGGUUUUUGGGUAGUCCACUUUUAGAGGGAGUUCCGCCAAAUUUUUGGUAGAAUUUCUUCUAAGAUGGGCCCCGCAGGGCCACUUUGGAUUUCAAGGUGAAAACCGGGGCGGGUCCUGUCAGUUGGUAUCAGAGCACUAGGUUGUAAGAUUCUGUAGACUUGUUUCGAUCUAGUUACCUUAUAUACUUGAUGUUACUCAGUACCUCCCGAGUGAUGGCCUGACUGCAGCGGUUCCCCGUCGUUUACUCUUCGGUGCUGAAGUAUUCAUCAAGUGUGUAACGUACAUGGUUAGUUGAUUUUCCUUCAGGUGCUAUGCCUCUUAUACGCCGAUCUCAUAAGGAUUUCUCUGCAUAGCAGAUUGUUUAUGUGUCUUGCACCUUUUCCUGGUGAUGUUGAUGUAAGAAUACCUUACACGGUUGAGUUAUGCUACGAAAUGUGAUCCAAGGGAAUGUGGUGGUUAUCUCUCCCUCGAUGCCAACAAGUUUGUUGGGGUAAGGUUUAAGGUGCAAGACUGGAUUUUGUGUUUCAUUGUUAGAGACUUAGAGUUGAGUGGGCAUAGCUUUGGGUUGUCUCAAUC